rnacentral:tmRNA from 1 species
GGGGAUGUUAUGGAUUCGACAUAUAUAGUUGAACGCUAACUGCAUCUCGUAGGUUACGUCUACGUUAAAACGUUACAGUUAAAUUAUAACUGCAAAAAAUAAUAACAAUUCUUACGCAUUAGCUGCUUAAUAACAGUCUAAUGUGUGAUCUGAUCAAUUUUGACCAUGGGUUGAAUCAGGUCUUAAAAAAAUGGUCUACGUUUAAUUGUGCCACCUUAGCAAUUGAAAAGAGUUUUUAAGGCUAGCUACUGAGGUUAGCUGCGUUGCAUGGCGUUCUUAGUAGUAAAAUAAAGAUAGUGCAACUAUGGAUGUAGAUGUUAGUGUGGCAGUAUGUAUGGACAGGAGUUCGAUUCUCCUCAUCUCCAUUG